AAAAUCCAUCUUAUAAUUCUUUUCAAUCAUAGCAUUACCCUAUUCACUUUUUAAUUUAUUGAAAUGCAAAAUAAUUUUUAAUCAAAGUUCUCACAGGUUUCGUUCAAUAUAAUUUGGUCAAUCUUCUAAACCUAAUUAUCUAUAAAGCAUAUAUGAUUAUAUUUUAUAUGAAUAUGAAAUCAUUAUAUCGAUUUCUAUAAAUUAUGUUCUAUUAAUUAACCAACAUGUAUUCAAACUUGUCUAAAGAUACAACAAAAUUUCCAUCAUUUUUUGUGCCUAGGCCGUUUAUUUGUUUUAUUAAUGAUAACACUAUUUUCAUUCUGUUAUCAAUCACACAGUGUGAUUGAGAGUGGAAAAGCUGAGCUUUGCUUUUGCAUUUGCUCUGAAACGAGUGUAUAAUUUCCAUUCUUCUAAUUCCCUUGCGAAAUGUUGUUUAAUAAAUUAAAGGAUUGUUGGUCUGGUUCAGAGCUUCAUCAAACCUGAUCGAACUACCCAAUUAUAUCAUUUGUAUUUCAGACAAACCAAGCUUAUGUCGAGCAGAAACGAAAUACAGUUCCAAUAGGGGGGGCUUUGCUGGUUUUGUUUUUUUUUUCUCUUGUUGAUAUGUUGCUCUCUUUCUCAACUUGUGGCAAAUCAAACUUUGUAGGAACAAAAUUGACAUGGUCAAUUGUGGUCUUGUGAAGUGAAAACAUGAUCUGUUGUUUUUGUCUAUUCUCCAUUACUCUUUCGUCCUUUAGAUAUAUAUAUUUAUGAAGUACUAAAUGAUCUGUGCAUAAGCAGCAAGACUUUAGGAACAAGAACUUGUGUAUACACAAAAAGUAUGCAGGACUAACACACUAUGGCUGUGGAAAAUAUGUGAUGUUUUGUCUUUGUAUUUGAGUCGCCAAGUCUUAGGAUACCUCUUGUACUUCUUCUUACUUGUGACCCUUUUGAGAAUUUUGAUCCCACAGUUGAUGUACACAAAAAAGCUUCAAUAUAGUUGUCUCAUUAUUUGUGUGUCUGAGGCUAACAUCCGUCAUCUUAUUCACACCGGCGUCGUCCUUACCGAUGAUAAUACGCACCAAAGCAUCAGACCCAGAAACAUCAUUGGCAACAGACCACAUUCCAUUAAUCUUCUCCACCAGUAUGUCGUCAUCCUCAUGCACAUUGUUCCUCAUCAACAAAGGUUUAUUUCUUAUCUGCAGCCAACCCACUCUGAUUGCAUUCUGAUGAGAUAGUAAUCACGUUAACAUUGGUCAACGAACGGGACCUGGUAAGCAGUGUCUCAUUGUUCUUUUAAUUAUUUAUUUUAAUGAGUUUUGUUGUUAAUAGUGGAGACUGAUUCUUCCUAAUGUUUAGGAACUUAAUCAUCCCACUUUUCCCAUUUCAUCGUUGUAUAUCAUGAUCCCACAAUUGCUUCUUGUAACUUUUAUCUAUUUAUUAAUUAUACGAGUACAAGAUAAGUUAAUUUUGUUGUUUUUGCUGCUUUAUAAUCAUGAAAUGCAUAAUACUUUACAAUCGUUAGUUGUGUUGUUAAUUUCAAAUCGAAAAAAAAACUACUGAAAAUCUUUAGAUCUUUGAGUAUUAAAUAUCUAGGAUGAAUAAAUUUUGGAAAUUGUUUUGUCAUAACUACCUCUUAUCUAUUAAAGUAGAUUUUAUCUGUUAAAAUAAAAGUUAUGAAUUAUUUCAUUUGUGAUUUUUGAUUUUGGACCAUUUUUUAGAAUAUCAUCUUAUCUAUUAAAAUAAAAACCAUGAUUUUUUCAAGUGUAAUAUUUUAUUUUAGACUAUCUCCUAAAAAAUUAUUACAUUUAAUGGUUCUGUCGUUUUCCAUAUAUUCUACCUAAUAAUGCAAAAUACUAAAACAAGAUUUACCUACAAUCUCGCCGCUCUAUACUUUUUCUCUUCAUUAACAAUAGUCAUCUAAAAUAAGCAAAUGAUUAAUAAAGGUACCAGCAUUUAUUUCAUAGGCAUAAAGGUACCAUCUUAAACUUCUUUCGUUUAUGUUCAAUUCUUUUUUCAUGAAAUAAUGAAGCUUGAUCUCUCUUUUUUUCAAUUCUUAAAUUACACGAAUCUAAAGCUUGAUUUUAUAACAUAAUUUUAUAAAGCAUACAUUUACAAUCACGUAAAUGUCAUGCAUUCCAUAAUAUGUUUUUCAUUCCACAAAAAUUAAAAGUGGUAAACAUGUAAUUUUCUAUUCUAAAUUUACGUCAGCUAAUAUAUAAUUACCAAAAUGAAAUUUAUAUAACACUCAAUUAUAUAAAAUAAUUUAUUUUGAAAUCUCUAUCUGCUUGAAAUUUAUAUAAUACUUAUUAUUUAUUUACUAUAUAUAUCUAAAAAUAGUAUAAUAAAAUGUCUAUAUAUUUUUGAAGAACAAAAAGAUUACAGAAUACGAAAAUAUAUUAUAGUUAUCAACGGGUUUUACUGACAAAUAAAUAUGAGAUGACAAAUAAACAUAUUAACUCAUAUCCAUUAUAAAAUAUUAAAACAAAUUUUGAUCAAUACAAGACACGUUAAAAAUGAAUUAUCUCAUUUGAGUUAUAAAUUAUUACAAAUAAGACUAUAAACAAUGUGUGUUUCAAAAAAGGUGUUUCAAAAAAAAGACUAAACAA